rnacentral:rRNA from 1 species
AUUGAACGCUGGCGGCAUGCCUUACACAUGCAAGUCGAACGGUAACAGGUCUUCGGAUGCUGACGAGUGGCGAACGGGUGAGUAAUACAUCGGAACGUGCCCGAGAGUGGGGGAUAACGAGGCGAAAGCUUUGCUAAUACCGCAUACGAUCUCAGGAUGAAAGCAGGGGACAGCAAGGCCUUGCGCUCACGGAGCGGGCGGUGGCAGAUUAGGUAGUUGGUGGGAUAAAAGCUUACCAAGCCGACGAUCUGUAGCUGGUCUGAGAGGACGACCAGCCACACUGGGACUGAGACACGGCCCAGACUCCUACGGGAGGCAGCAGUGGGGAAUUUUGGACAAUGGGCGCAAGCCUGAUCCAGCCAUGCCGCGUGCAGGAUGAAGGCCUUCGGGUUGUAAACUGCUUUUGUACGGAACGAAAAGACUCUGGUUAAUACCUGGGGUCCAUGACGGUACCGUAAGAAUAAGCACCGGCUAACUACGUGCCAGCAGCCGCCGUAACAC